rnacentral:lncRNA from 1 species
UUUCAAAUGUGAUUGUUUUAUAUUUUUGUUGACACAAGCAGCUCUUUUAUUUACAUAAUCAGUAAUGGUAAAAAAAUGUAUUGUAUUAUGCAUAGUUAGGCACUUACAUCUUACUGUGAUAAGUAAACCAAUGGAUAUGUGUCACUUGACUAUCCCUGUGAGCUUAAAAGGGACACACACUAGUAAGGCCAUAUUUCCAGGUUAGAAUUAGAUAUAAUGUUUUCUCCUGCAGUUUGCAGGUAUCUGCCUUAUUUUGUUUUGUAAGUACCUUAAGUACUUAGAAAAUAUGAGAAUACUUUGUAGAGAAAGCAGAGCAGAAGGGAAGAACCCCUCCCUGGUGGGACUCCAGAAGGGGCAGUAAAGUAGGCUGGGGAGAGAGAUAAGAGUGGUGAUCAUUACAUUACAAAACAAAAUAAACGUCUUAUUAUCUGGAUACUUUAAAACUUUUUCAGAUUUGUUUAAACAUGCAUGAUAUAUCUAACCAAGAAAGAGAGCUCUGUUUGAUUUUUCUGUUAUGGAAUUUUUCUGUGUUCUUGAACAUGUUUGCUGUGUAUUCUUUCUCCACAGACUCAAAAAAAUGCCUCAGUCAAUGCCAGAAUAUGCUCUGACUAGAAAUUAUUUGGAACUUAUGGUAGAACUUCCUUGGAACAAAAGUACAACUGGUAAGCCAAAAAAUAACACCUUUUUUGCAGUCUAAUUGUCACUCAGAAAGCUCAUGCAAUUUUUCAUUUCAAAUUUACUCCACUGAUUGUCGUACUGUUAAAUUAUUUUUGUUUUCAAUUUUUUGGAAACCAUUUUAUUGAAGUGUGAUUGUCAUACAAAAAGCUGUAGAUAUUUAAUGAAUACAUCUCAGUGAGUUUCAGAAUAAGUAUACACCCAUGAAACCAUCACAAUCUUCAUAGCCAUAAACAUAUCCAUCACCUACAAAGUUUCCUCCUACCUCUUUUGUGAUUAUUAUUAUCAUCAUUAUUAUUGGCUUUUUUCUUUUGGUGCUGGUGGUAAGAACAUUGAACAUAAUGUCUAAUGUUAAAUUAACAAUAUUGUUAGCGAUAGGCACUUUUCUUUAUAGUAGAUCUCUAGAACUCAUUUAUCUUGCAUAAGUGAAACUUUGUUCCCUUUAACCAUCACCUCCCAUUUCCUUCUCCUCUCAUCCCGUGGCAACUACUAGUCUACUCUCCAUUUCUAUGAGUUUCACUAUUUUAGAUUCCACAUGCAUUAAAUAGGUGAAAUCAUACAGUACUUGUCUUUCUGUGUCUGGCUUAUUCCACUUAGCAUGAUGCCCUCUAGGUCCAUCCAUGUUGUCACAGAUGGCAAGAUUUCCUUCUUUUUUAAGGUGCAUAAUAUUCCAUUGUGUGUCUAUACCACAUUUUCUUUAUUCACUUAUGUGUCAGUAGACAUUUCAGUUAUUUCCGUAUCUUGGCUAUUGUAAGUAAUACUGCAGUGAAUACGGAAGUGCAGAUAACUCUUUGAGAUCCUGAUUUCAGUUCCUUUGGCUGUUUACCCAGAGGUGGCAUUGCUGGAUCUUAUGGAAGUUGUAUUUUAACUUUUUUAGUAACUUCCAUACUGUUUUCAUAAUGGCUGUUAUCGGGGGACCUGCCCCAAUAAUUACGUAGGUUCUUUUCUAUUUUCCUAAGCGUUGGCUGGCUUGAGAAAUAAAGGGACAGAGUACAAAAGAGAAAUUUUAAAGCCGGGUGUCCGGGGGAGACAUCACACGUUGGUAGGAUCCGUGAUGCCCCACAAGCCACAAAAACCAGCAAGUUUUUAUUAGGGAUUUUCAAAAGGGGAGGGAGUGUGCGAAUAGGUGUGGGUGACAGACAUCAAGUACUUAACAGGGUAAUAGAAUAUCACAAGGCAAGUGGAGGCAGGGCGAGAUCACAGGACUACAGGCGAAAUUUAAAUUGCUAAUGAAGUUUCGGGCACCAUUGUCAUUGAUAACAUCUUAUCAGGAGACAGGGUUUUGAGAUAACCGAUCUGACCAAAAUUUAUUAGAUGGGAAUUUCCUCUUCCUAAUAAGCCUGGGAGCGCUAUGGGAGACUGGAGUCUAUUUCACCUCUGCAAUCUCGACCAUAAGAGACAGGUACGCCCCGGGGGGGCCAGUUCAGAGACCUACCCCUAGGUGCGCAUUCUGUUUCUCAGGGACAUUCCAUGCUGAGAAAAAAGAAUUCAGCGAUAUUUCUCCCAUUUGCUUUUGAAAGAAGAGAAAUAUGGCUCUGUUCUGCCCGGCUCACCAGCGGUCAGAGUUUAAGGUUAUCUCUCUUAUUCCCUGAACAAUUGCUGUUAUCCUGUUCUUUUUCCACGGUGCUCAGAUUUCAUAUUGCACAAACACACAUGCUGUACAAUUUGUGCAGUUAACGCAAUUAUCACAUAGUCCUGAGGCGACAUACAUCCUCCUUGGCUGACAGGAUUAAGAGAUUAAAGUAAAGACAGGCAUAGGAAAUCACAAGAGUAUUGAUUGGGGAAGUGAUAAGUGUCCAUGAAAUCUUUACAAUUUAUGUUUAGAGAUUGCAGUAAAGACAGGC